UACGGAGGGUGCAAGCGUUAUCCGGAAUCACUGGGUUUAAAGGGUGCGCAGGCGGCCUAAUAAGUCAGUCGUGAAAUCGCUGGGCUCAACCCAUGCAAUUGCGAUUGAUACUGCUAGGCUUGAAUGGGGUUGAGGCUGGCGGAAUGCGGCAUGUAGCGGUGAAAUGCUUAGAUAUGCCGCAGAACACCGAUUGCGAAGGCAGCCAGCUGGGCCUUUAUUGACGCUGAGGUGCGAAAGCGUGGGGAGCAAACAGG
rnacentral:rRNA from 1 species